CUAGUUGCUGUCACAACCGCACAGUGUGCGGCCGCCGGUUUUCAAGGAAGGCCUACGGCGCUGAAUUUGUGUGUUGUCAUCGCCGAAAGUUCCGUCUAGUUGGUCAGCAUGUUUGUGCCUUUGCAGCCCUUCAAAGGCCACCAGUGGCACGAAUACUCGCUUGUACUGCCUGUUGUGUCUGUCGGCAAUGCCGCUCAGCUGGCAGUUGACCUACUGCUGUCGACACUCGAGACAGAGCUGGUCGGCUACAUCCACUCGACGGCUCUUGUGCCACUUGUUGGCGGCAAUCCGUAUCGUGUUAGCGACCAGAGGCUUGCCACAGCGUGCCAAGUCUAUGUGUGCCACCGAAGCAAGCUUCUAGUGGUGCAGCAGAGGACACCUGUUUCAGCAAACUGCCGCGCUGAGUAUCGCCAGUUUCUGACAGAGUGGAUCAAGCAGGAAAGGUUUCGUCUGGUCAUCAUGCUCUCCAGCUGCCUCUCCCAGUUCACCAACCCAUCCGACCUCCCCAGGUACUCGGUGCACUACUACUGCACUCCGACAGUUGGUGAGCCUGUGGAGGCCCAGCUGCAGGCACUGCAUUGGACGCGACUCGAAAAGCAGGACCCCGUGACCCGUGAACGCCACCCUGAGGGUGUGCUGCUCAUGCCCGGAUCAGGCAUCACUCGGUCUCUGCUCGACAAGUGCGUCUCUGACGAGAUCCCUGUUGUCCUUCUGCUUGUGUACUGCUCCGAGGGAGACAACACGCCCGAUGCCAUCUUGUUGGCCGACCGAUUGGACGAGUGGCUACACCUUUGCCAGCCACCAACCGACGGUGGAGAGCAGCGCGGACGACGAGGACCGUGGCAGACGCCGAUCUCGUGGAGCUUGCUCUUUGGCAGUGCCCCACCAACCAGCAUCUACUAGUCUUCUGCAUUGCGUCAAGACCUGCCUUACCAUUGUUGGUGAUGUGGCUUGCCAGGGAAGGGCUGAUGCUUGAGAUGAGUGACACCAAACAGCCCACAAAUGUGAAGAGAGGAAAGUGAAUGCAAUUUGUUCGUCUCUUGCAUACAGUUUAUUGCAGCUUUACAAAAUUGCAGACUAUGGUCUACAAAAAACACUGUAUGAUGAACACUUUCAAAACCUAUGUUACAAGUUUUUUGUUGUUGCACAAUGAAGGAACGUUGUACAAAAGCAGGAGCAUAUUUGCUGGACGGUGUUGUUCUACUGGCAUCGCCUCAUUUUCAGCAGCUUCUGCUUUUCUCUUUGUGUGUUUCGUUCCAUGUUCUUUGCUUUUGCAAGGAAGUGAAGCUGCGUCAGCGCAUAGAACUUAAUUAUGUUUGUUGUCAAACUCCGCCCAUGCUCACUGCACUCCACCUUAAGCUUUGCUCCCUGAAGAAAAUGUAGAAUGCAGACCAUGCGUUCAGCACAAGCCGAUUCCUGCUGAAAUUCACAAUAAAUGUGCCCUCAACUUUAGAAACAAGCUCCUCAACAGCUUUGUAAGGGUAGGUCAAGCCCCCAUGAUCAAACUGACUGGUUAAUAUAGAAUUUCCACCACGUUCUGCUUGUGGGGGCAAAAUACAAAGACAAGAGACACACUGUGGGCAUGGAAAUCUUUUUAAAGACUCUCUGACAACAUAGCCAGCUAUGUAAUGAACUAACCUACUGUCACUGGGCUUUUCGACAGAGUUGUCAUGAUCGAACUGCUUGCCUUUUGUUUCUGGCACAGGUUCUACACACUCCAAAUUUCCAUCAUCCAAGAGCUCAUCAAUAAUUUCUGUUAGGUGGUCAGCCUUUUGUUUGCCAACAUCAGAUGGCUUUAAGAUUGCGGUUAUGAAGUCUUCUAGCAAGUUCCCAUUUUUUAGGAGGCUUUGCCAAAGUGUAGAAUGACAGGCUGUUUAUUAUAAUUAAAAACUGCUGAGGUGAAGGAUGGUCAUUGCAACCAAAUGAUUGCCUUACAA